rnacentral:rRNA from 1 species
AGUGAACGCUGGCGGUAGGCCUAACACAUGCAAGUCGAACGGCAGCACAGUAAGAGCUUGCUCUUACGGGUGGCGAGUGGCGGACGGGUGAGGAAUACAUCGGAAUCUACUUUUUCGUGGGGGAUAACGUAGGGAAACUUACGCUAAUACCGCAUACGCCCUACGGGUGAAAGCAGGGGAUCUUCGGACCUUGCGCGCUUGAAUGGGCCGAUGUCGGAUUAGCUAGUUGGCGGGGUAAAGGCCCACCAAGGCGACGAUCCGUAGCUGGUCUGAGAGGAUGAUCAGCCACACUGGAACUGAGACACGGUCCAGACUCCUACGGGAGGCAGCAGUGGGGAAUAUUGGACAAUGGGCGCAAGCCUGAUCCAGCCAUACCGCGUGGGUGAAGAAGGCCUUCGGGUUGUAAAGCCCUUUUGUUGGGAAAGAAAAGCAGCAGGUUAAUACCCCGCUGUUCUGACGGUACCCAAAGAAUAAGCACCGGCUAACUUCGUG